UAUCCAUAACGUCGCCUUCCG
rnacentral:piRNA from 1 species